GUGGGGAAUUUUGGACAAUGGGCGCAAGCCUGAUCCAGCAAUGCCGCGUGCAGGAAGAAGGCCUUCGGGUUGUAAACUGCUUUUGUACGGAACGAAACGGUCCUGGUUAAUACCUGGGGCUAAUGACGGUACCGUAAGAAUAAGCACCGGCUAACUACGUGCCAGCAGCCGCGGUAAUACGUAGGGUGCGAGCGUUAAUCGGAAUUACUGGGCGUAAAGCGUGCGCAGGCGGUGCUGUAAGACAGGCGUGAAAUCCCCGGGCUCAACCUGGGAAUUGCGAUUGUGACUGCAGUGCUGGAGUGCGGCAGAGGGGGAUGGAAUUCCGCGUGUAGCAGUGAAAUGCGUAGAUAUGCGGAGGAACACCGAUGGCGAAGGCAAUCCCCUGGGCCUGCACUGACGCUCAUGCACGAAAGCGUGGGGAGCAAACAGGAUUAGAAACCCGGGUAGUCC
rnacentral:rRNA from 1 species